UACGAAGGGGGCUAGCGUUGUUCGGAAUUACUGGGCGUAAAGCGCGCGCAGGCGGUCUUUCAAGUCAGUGGUGAAAGCCUGGAGCUCAACUCCAGAACUGCCAUUGAAACUGCAAGACUUGAGUACGAGAGAGGUGAGUGGAAUUCCCAGUGUAGAGGUGAAAUUCGUAGAUAUUGGGAAGAACACCGGUGGCGAAGGCGGCUCACUGGCUCGUAACUGACGCUCAGGCGCGAAAGCGUGGGGAUCAAACAGG
rnacentral:rRNA from 1 species